rnacentral:ncRNA from 1 species
CACCUUCUUAAGUGGUAUGUGCUCGAGAUUCAGCCUCAUCAGGCAAAGCAAAUGAUUAGAGGCCUUGCGGCCAAAAUUACCUCAACCUAUUCUCAAACUUUAAAUGGGUAAGAAGUCUGGCUUGCAUGAUUGAAGGUCGGACAAUUGGAUGAGACUACCCAGUGGGCCACUUUUGGUAAACAGAACUUGUAGCAUCUGACUUCGAGA